rnacentral:ncRNA from 1 species
AAAAUUCACAUAAGGUUGCUCAGUGAUAAAGGAAGUAAGGAUGCAGAGACAACUAGGAGGUUUGCCUAGAAGUAGCCACUCUUGAAAGAGUGCGUAAUAGCUCAUUGAUCGAGCACUGUUGUGUUGAAGAUAAACAGGGCUAAUCGAUCUGCUGAA